rnacentral:rRNA from 1 species
AUUGAACGUUGGCGGCAGGCUUAACACAUGCAAGUCGAGCGGGGUGAUGGUGCUUGCACUAUCACUUAGCGGCGGACGGGUGAGUAAUGCUUAGGAAUCUGCCUAUUAGUGGGGGACAACAUCUCGAAAGGGAUGCCAAUACCGCAUACGUCCUACGGGAGAAAGCAGGGGAUCACUUGUGACCUUGCGCUAAUAGAUGAGCCUAAGUCGGAUUAGCUAGUUGGUGGGGUAAAGGCCUACCAAGGCGACGAUCUGUAGCGGGUCUGAGAGGAUGAUCCGCCACACUGGGACUGAGACACGGCCCAGACUCCUACGGGAGGCAGCAGUGGGGAAUAUUGGACAAUGGGGGGAACCCUGAUCCAGCCAUGCCGCGUGUGUGAAGAAGGCCUUAUGGUUGUAAAGCACUUUAAGCGAGGAGGAGGCUCUUUUGGUUAAUACCCAGAAUGAGUGGACGUUACUCGCAGAAUAAGCACCGGCUAACUCUGUGCCAGCCGCCGCCGUAA